AAAAGUUAAUAUAUAUAAAAGUUUGCAAAUUGUAUCUAUGUAUAAAAUAUUUUUAUUUUAUAGUUUACAAUUGUUAUUAAGUAACGUCCUGCCAAACCCAUCCCGCCAAUCCGUCCCGUAAAAAAACCUAUUUAUUUUGUUAAUGUUGAUCUUAUUUAUGAUAUGUUUAUGAAUCAUUGUUUAAACAUUUUGUAAUUUUGUAGUAAUUAACUGUUAUCAAAUAUCUCUACGGUUUGAUGCUUAUAAUCGAAUUAUUAUAGUCAUGAAAAAAGCAAUUUAAA
rnacentral:sRNA from 1 species